rnacentral:rRNA from 1 species
ACGAACGCUGGCGGCGUGCUUAACCCAUGCAAGUCGAACGGAAAGGCCCUGCUUUUGUGGGGUGCUCGAGUGGCGAACGGGUGAGUAACACGUGAGUAACCUGCCCUUGACUUUGGGAUAACUUCAGGAAACUGGGGCUAAUACCGGAUAGGAGCUCCUGCUGCAUGGUGGGGGUUGGAAAGUUUCGGCGGUUGGGGAUGGACUCGCGGCUUAUCAGCUUGUUGGUGGGGUAGUGGCUUACCAAGGCUUUGACGGGUAGCCGGCCUGAGAGGGUGACCGGCCACAUUGGGACUGAGAUACGGCCCAGACUCCUACGGGAGGCAGCAGUGGGGAAUAUUGCCCAAUGGGCGGAAGCCUGAUGCAGCAACGCCGCGUGCGGGAUGACGGCCUUCGGGUUGUAAACCGCUUUCGCCUGUGACGAAGCGUGAGUGACGGUAAUGGGUAAAGAAGCACCGGCUAACUACGUG